AAGGGUGCGUAGGCGGCAGUGCGGGUUUAAGGUCUAAAUUUAUGGCUCAACCAUAAAAUGCUUUAAAAACUGUACAGCUAGAGCAAGAUAGGGGUAAGUGGAAUUCCAUGUGUAGCGGUAAAAUGCGCAAAUAUAUGGCGGAACACCAGCGGCGAAGGCGGCUUACUGGGUCUUAGCUGACGCUAAUGCACGAAAGCGUGGGGAGCAAACAGGAUUAGAUACCCUGGUAGUCCACGCCGUAAAC
rnacentral:rRNA from 1 species